GGUUUCUUUUGCAGGGAUAAAGCGGCGGCGGCGGUGAGGCGGGGAGGUGGCAAUGCACUCGGGAGAUGCGGCUGCGAGGCGGGAAGGCGGCGGCGCGCUCGGGUGCGGGAGGUAGCGCUGCGCUCAGGAGAUGCGGCCGUGAGGCGGGGAGGCGGCGGUGCGCUCGGGCGCCGCAUCAGGCGGCGGCAGCGAGGCGGGUAGGCGACGCUGCGCCCAGGAGAUGCGGCAGCAAGGCAGCGGCGUCGCAUUAGGCGGCGGCAGCAAGGCGGGAGGCACGCGCGGAGAUGAAGGAGGAGAAAAUGGAGAGUCGACCAGGGUGAGGAGUUCACCAGCGUCGAAGCCACAGACCACGGCGGCGCAAGCUUGAAGGGGCCGGUGGCCAUGGCGGGGAGGUGGCGCUGCGGUCGGGUGCCGCAUGCCUCCUCUGCCGCUCCUUAUUUCUUUCUUCCCAACUCCUUCUCUCUUGCACGUCGCCGUCCUACUGCCCACGCAGCAAAGAGAUUGAGGAAGAGGCGGGAGUCGGGUCAAUCGAUUUGUCGCACGACGGAUGUGGCACUGCUUGUUCCAUCUAGAUCAACAGGCUGCAGAGGGAGGCGGAAGAGGAGCCACGACCUCGGAGCAAGAGAAUGCCGCCUAGCACGCAUCUAACUGUAACUGUUUUAUCCAUGAGAUGGAGCAUAAGAGAAGUGCAUCUCUAAAAUUCACAGUUUUGAACCCAAAGAGACGCAUCUAGACAAUGGUUGCAUGAGUGGUUCCAGUGUCAUAUACGCCAACAUGGUAAGAAUGUCUUCUUGUCUGAUUCUAAGUUAGUUGUAGAAUUAUUCCAUGCUACUACUUGUUGACUAGAAUUCGCUACGAGGUUGGAGAUUUGGGAUUGGAUGAUGCGCCAAGAAUGAGGGACAAGGUGCUGAACUAAGUAGGGGCAGAAUGAUUCUUCAGAAAUCAGAGAAAGGUCAUUGGCUAUCCCCAUCACUGUCGAAGAUUUGCUAGAGAAGAAGAGGACCAGAAUGUUUUCUCUAUUAUUGGGGACAUACAUAAUACAUAUAAAUAAAUUUGGACCAUUUAUAACAGAGAGAUUUCUUGCCAAAAAUAUUAACUCUCUCCAGCAGUGGGCAGGGCACUGUCAAGGUUAUCCUAGACUACUUGGGGACAAUAUCAUCAGUUUCUUGCAUACUGCAAUGCAAGUUCAAAAAGCCAGUUUCUUAUUAUCUCUGUGUUGACCUAACUGCCAAGAAUCAUAAAAGGAUGCACCUAAUGAGUGCACCUAGGGAGCUGCACAGAUUUGGAACAACUUCCAGAACAGUCAUCCAAGCGUUUUGGUGUGGUACCACUAAGCUGUCAGAGCAAGAUAGCUGGGAUGUCAAGUCCCUAGGCCAAUGGUAAAUCACAAAUUGGCUGAUGUUCAAUGGGAAGCAUCAGACAAUACCAAUGUCCAGUAGUAAUGUUUGAUUGUUCAGACUAUGAUAUUUCCUUAGGUUCACCUUGACCUUCACUGCCCGUGAUGAGUCAGAAACUGAAGAAGAUGAUCCCUUGGACACAGAAGAUGCUUCCUCUGUCCUCAUCGCUGCACUACAGUCUUUUGGCCAAGCUCUGGUGAAUGACAACGAAGAAAAAGAUAUCGUUAAAGAGGUAGAUGUCUUCUUGCGUCCUACCCUAAAUGACAGGGGCUCUCCUAUCAGCAAAAUAGCUACUCUAGAGGCGCAGAUGACGAUAGCAAGAGACCGUAUCUUGAGGAUAAGUGAAUGACUAUGAGGUCUACAUGUUAAGUAUAGAAACCUGACGAGGACAAGUGUGCGCUUUGCUACCACUUCUUUGCCAGCCGGAGUGGCCUGUUUUCAGUGAUGAUCAUGGAUCAUGGUGUACAUGCGUGUAUAUGUUGUGUUCUAAUAGAAUGUACCACAAGAUUUUCUUGGAAUGGUUUGGUACUUCUGUUUUAUUAUGCUAUGAAGUGUGUAUGUGUAUGUUGGUCCCA